rnacentral:tRNA from 1 species
UCUCUGGUGGUCCAGCGGCUAAGCCUCUGCUCUCCCAAUGCAGGGGGCCCAGGUUCCAACCCUGGUCAGGGAA